rnacentral:rRNA from 1 species
AGCAGCCGCGGUAAUUCCAGCUCCAAUAGCGUAUAUUAAAGUUGUUGCAGUUAAAAAGCUCGUAGUUGAAUUUCGGGAUUGACGUGAUGGUCGUGCCUUAAGGGGUAUGAACUGUCGCAGUUGAUUUCUCACCUUCUGGAGAAGCAUGAUGUCCUUAAUUGGGUGUCGUGUGGAACCAGGACCUUUACCUUGAAAAAUUAGAGUGUUUAAAGCAGGCAUUUUGCUCGAAUACAUUAGCAUGGAAUAAUAGAAUAGGACGGCAUGGUUCUAUUUUGUUGGUUUCUAGGAUCACCGUAAUGAUUAAUAAGGAUAGUUGGGGGCAUUAGUAUUCAAUUGUCAGAGGUGAAAUUCUUGGAUUUAUUGAAGACUAACUACUGCGAAAGCAUUUGCCAAGGAUGUUUUCAUUAAUCAAGAACGAAAGUUAGGGGAUCGAAGACGAUCAGAUACCGUCGUAGUCUUAACCAUAAACUAUGCCGACUAGGAAUCAGACGAUGUUAAUUUUUAAUGACUCGUUUGGCUA